rnacentral:rRNA from 1 species
GACGUAGGGCGCGAGCGUUGUCCGGAUUUAUUGGGCGUAAAGAGCUCGUAGGCGGCUUGUCGCGUCGUCCGUGAAAACCUGCAGCUCAACUGCAGGCUUGCGGUCGAUACGGGCAGGCUGGAGUUCGGUAGGGGAGACUGGAAUUCCUGGUGUAGCGGUGAAAUGCGCAGAUAUCAGGAAGAACACCAAUGGCGAAGGCAGCUCUCUGGGACGGUACUGACGCUGAGACGCGAAAGCGUGGGGAGCGAACAGG